rnacentral:rRNA from 1 species
AUUGAACGCUGGCGGCAGGCCUAACACAUGCAAGUCGAGCGGAGCGGCGGACGGGUGAGUAAUGCCUAGGAAUCUGCCUGGUAGUGGGGGAUAACGUCCGGCAACGGGCGCUAGUACCGCAUAAUAUCAGAUGAGCCUAGGUCGGAUUAGCUGGUUGGUGGGGUAAAGGCCUACCAAGGCGAAGGUCCGUAACUGGUAUGAGAGGAUGAUCAGUAACACUUGAACUGAGACACUGUCCAGACGCCUACGUGAGGCGGCAGUGGGGAAUAUGGGACAAUGGGCUAAAGCCUGAUCCAGCCAUGCCGCGUGUGUGAAGAAGGUCUUCGGAUUGUAAAGCACUUUAAGUUGGGAGGCGUUACCAACAGAAUAAGCACCGGCAAACUUCGUGCCAGCCGCCGCGGUAAUUC